AGCAGCGUGGCCUAGUGGAAAAAGCACGGGCCUGAGAGUCAGAGGACCUGGGUUCUAAUCCCAGCUCUGCCA
rfam:Ornithorhynchus anatinus chromosome 5, whole genome shotgun sequence.